CCUACGGGUGGCUGCAGUAGGGAAUAUUGGACAAUGGGCGCAAGCCUGAUCCAGCCAUGCCGCGUGGGUGAAGAAGGCCUUCGGGUUGUAAAGCCCUUUUGUCCGGAAAGAAAAGCAACGGGUUAAUACCCCGGUGUCCUGACGGUACCGGAAGAAUAAGCACCGGCUAACUUCGUGCCAGCAGCCGCGGUAAUACGAAGGGUGCAAGCGUUACUCGGAAUUACUGGGCGUAAAGCGUGCGUAGGUGGUUGUUUAAGUCUGAUGUGAAAGCCCUG
rnacentral:rRNA from 1 species